rnacentral:rRNA from 1 species
AGCAGCCGCGGUAAUUCCAGCUCCAAUAGCGUAUAUUAAAGUUGUUGCAGUUAAAAAGCUCGUAGUUGAAUUUCGGGGUUAGUAGGCUGGUCAUGCCACCGGUAUGUACUGGUCUUUCUGAUUCCUCCUUCCUGAUGAACUGUAAUGCCAUUAAUUUGGUGUUGCAGGGAAUCUGGACUGUUACUUUGAAAAAAU